rnacentral:rRNA from 1 species
GACGAACGCUGGCGGCGUGCCUAAUACAUGCAAGUAGAACGCUGAAGGAGGAGCUUGCUCUUCUGGAUGAGUUGCGAACGGGUGAGUAACGCGUAGGUAACCUGCCUGGUAGUGGGGGAUAACUAUUGGAAACGAUAGCUAAUACCGCAUAAUAACAGUUGUUGCAUGACAACUGUUUGAAAGGUGCAAUUGCAUCACUACCAGAUGGACCUGCGUUGUAUUAGCUAGUUGGUGGGGUAACGGCUCACCAAGGCGACGAUACAUAGCCGACCUGAGAGGGUGAUCGGCCACACUGGGACUGAGACACGGCCCAGACUCCUACGGGAGGCAGCAGUAGGGAAUCUUCGGCAAUGGACGAAAGUCUGACCGAGCAACGCCGCGUGAGUGAAGAAGGUUUUCGGAUCGUAAAGCUCUGUUGUAAGAGAAGAACGAGUGUGAGAGUGGAAAGUUCACAA